GAUGAACGCUGGCGGCGUGCUUAACACAUGCAAGUCGAACGGAAAGGCCGAAGCUUGCUUCGGUACUCGAGUGGCGAACGGGUGAGUAACACGUGGGUGAUCUGCCCUGUACUUCGGGAUAAGCUUGGGAAACUGGGUCUAAUACCGGAUAUGACGAUCUCUUAGAUGGGGUUGUGGAAAGCUUUUGCGGUAUGGGAUGAGCUCGCGGCCUAUCAGCUUGUUGGUGGGGUAAUGGCCUACCAAGGCGUCGACGGGUAGCCGGCCUGAGAGGGUGUACGGCCACAUUGGGACUGAGAUACGGCCCAGACUCCUACGGGAGGCAGCAGUGGGGAAUAUUGCACAAUGGGCGCAAGCCUGAUGCAGCGACGCCGCGUGGGGGAUGACGGCCUUCGGGUUGUAAACUCCUUUCGCAAUCGACGAAGCCUUUUGGUGACGGUAGGUUGAGAAGAAGCACCGGCUAACUACGUG
rnacentral:rRNA from 1 species